AAAAAAGAGAGCGUCGGUUCCUCGAUUUCCUCUCUCUCCUUUCGUCCCGGAAUUUGCGCCAUCGCCAUCGCCAUCGACGACAGCCUUGCCUUGUGCGCAACGUGGUAACCGAGGAGACUGAAGUCAACGUGUGCGCACUUAUGACAAGGCAAAGAGGAGGGCCAAGAAGGCGGAAUGCGAGUUGGCUGUGGACACCACGGAGCUGUCGGCGAUGCUGCUGCGGGUGCAGCUGAGGCAUGAAGUACGGGUCGUGUCUGAGAGGCUGGAU